AGACUGCGUUGUGAUGACAGACACAGACUGGUUGGAAACUGGACAAAGUGCAGCAGUGUCACACAGCAACAGCAGGCCUCUCCUCAUCCCUGUUUAGCACAAGUGGGAGAGGGAGAGGUGAAGUGGAGUGGAGAUAACAUCCCCUUCGACCUGUUCGGCCGGCACUGUUGGAUGCUGAAGGCCCCACAGAGGUUCCCAGCUGCUCUCUGCAUCAGGUCACUGAUGGUCUUGGUCACUCAGGCCUGUGAAUCCAGUCCCUGAAGAACUCCAUCAUCAUCCUCUGCAGGAAUAUCGCAG